UGGAUGUAGCUCAAGUGGUUAAGAUGUUGGAAUACUGAUCAGAAGGUUGUGAGUUCAAACCUCAGCACUGCCAA